GCGACAGGCUUAACACAUGCAAGUCGAGGGGCAGCAUAAAAGUAGCAAUACUUGGUGGCGACCGGCGCACGGGUGAGUAACGCGUAUGCAACCUACCUAUCAGAGGGGAAUAACCCGGCGAAAGUCGGACUAAUACCGCAUAAAACAGGGGCACCGCGUGGUGAUAUUUGUUAAAGAAAUUCGCUGAUAGAUGGGCAUGCGUUCCAUUAGGUAGUUGGUGAGGUAACGGCUCACCAAGCCGACGAUGGAUAGGGGAACUGAGAGGUUGGUCCCCCACACUGGUACUGAGACACGGACCAGACUCCUACGGGAGGCAGCAGUGAGGAAUAUUGGUCAAUGGGCGGGAGCCUGAACCAGCCAAGUCGCGUGAAGGAAGAAGGAUCUAUGGUUCGUAAACUUCUUUUGCAGGGGAAUAAAGUGCAGGACGUGUCCUGUUUUGUAUGUACCCUGAGAAUAAGGAUCGGCUAACUCCGUGCCAGCCGCGGC
rnacentral:rRNA from 1 species